CUGCCAGAAUUCAUAUGCUUGUCCCAAAGAUUAAGCCAUGCAUGCCAAGAGUCCCGUGGUUGGCCGGGCGCCUUCGGGCGCCCGGCUGGCCCAUGAAUCAUCGAACGGCUCCGUAUAUCUGUUGUUACCUGUCGCGGUAAGUAAGGCGUGGAUAUAGCACGGAAAAGCUGUGUGUAAAACAGCUAAAAUCGGGCACGCCCGCGGGGUAGCUCCCCGGGCGCACGUGGGUGGGGGGAUCCGGCCACAACCUUAACCCCCCUCCCCGGCCUGAACUCCUCAAGUAGCGCGGAGACCCGUCCGCAGCUGGCUGGUCCAGCUGGUCCGGCGGUUUGGCGCGAAACGGGGGCCUCUACUUGUGGGCAAGCUGCGCAGGCCCCCUCCUCUACGGGGGGGGGGGCUAUGGCGAGGCCCCUUAACUAGAGACCAACCACAAGCGCGCGAUGGGCUUAAGACCUAUCAGCUAGAUGGUAGGGUAUUGGCCUACCAUGGCUACGACGGGUACAAAGGAUUAGGGUUUAAUCCUGGAAAGGUAGCCUGAGAAAUCGCUCCCACUUCUAAGGAAGGCAGCAGGCGCGUAACGUUCCCAAUGCUCUACCGAGUGAGGACGUGACGGGACAUAAUAAUGCCCCUUCAAUAGUGAUGUGGGUAGACUUC
rnacentral:rRNA from 1 species